rnacentral:rRNA from 1 species
AACGAACGCUGGCGGCAGGCUUAACACAUGCAAGUCGAACGCCCCGCAAGGGGAGUGGCAGACGGGUGAGUAACGCGUGGGAAUCUACCGUGCCCUGCGGAAUAGCUCCGGGAAACUGGAAUUAAUACCGCAUACGCCCUACGGGGGAAAGAUUUAUCGGGGUACGAUGAGCCCGCGUUGGAUUAGCUAGUUGGUGGGGUAAAGGCCUACCAAGGCGACGAUCCAUAGCUGGUCUGAGAGGAUGAUCAGCCACAUUGGGACUGAGACACGGCCCAAACUCCUACGGGAGGCAGCAGUGGGGAAUAUUGGACAAUGGGCGCAAGCCUGAUCCAGCCAUGCCGCGUGAGUGAUGAAGGCCUCAGGGUUGUAAAGCUCUUUCACCGAUGAAGAUAAUGACGGUAGUCGGAGAAGAAGCCCCGGCUAACUUCGUGCCAGCCACCGCCGUAA